ACUUCAUAGGCUAGAAGCCAGUUGCCUUCAAGAAACAGUCUGACGAAUAUGUUCCUGUUUCUUAUUCAGCUUGGAUUCCAGUCAGCCUUCGUUGCAGUUCAUUAUUCCUUCCAUUCCACCGAGGACUCUAGAUAAGAAAACGGACGCUGCCAUGGUGGAAGCUGAGGAUUUGUAAUCCACGCUCAAGAAUAUUGAAUGCAUCUGAUGCUGCCAUGGUGGAAGCUGAGAAUUUGCUCAAGAAUGUCGAAUAGCAGCCAGACACUGCAGAUGUCUGGCAGCGGAGGGCGUUGCGCUGCGACGUGAGUGUGAUGACAGUACGGUGUUGAGGUCCUGCCGUGUUAGAUGCCUUCCCACUCACUACGAAGCCAUGUGUUGCCACUCCAUCCUGCUGCAGAAAACUGGCUUCAUGUUGCAGUGAAGAUUAGAUGCCGUUUUCUGCAGACGUCUGCCUCGCACCUCCACUGUGUCCUGCCACCUCCACUGUGUCCUGCUAGUACGUGCUGCCAUCCAGGGAGGAGAAGCCUCACGCCUCCAUUCUGUCCUGCCAACACAUAAUUCCAUGCUCUGUUGUUACACCUUCCUUGUGCUGUGGAAGUUCAUGCCUGUAGUGCUAUUACUGGAUAAUAGUUACAAAAUCGAUAUUGAUGUUUUUGGUAAAUUUGCUUGACUUCUUAAAGGAUUAGUAUAUUAAGGAAUAAUUUUUAAAGCAGGGUUUGGUAACUAUGAAACGGCAACAUAUUUUUAGGUAUUCUGAAUAAAACCAAAAUCCAUUCGGAAA